GCACGGCCACAGCGGAGGGGUUCUACCCGGUCCCAUACCGAACCCGGAAGUCAAGCCCUCCUGCGUCGAUUCCUGUACUGUGGCGCGAGAGCCCACGGAAACGUUCGUCGCUGUGCCACUC
rnacentral:rRNA from 1 species